rnacentral:rRNA from 1 species
CGUGAAACCGUCCAGGGGUAAACCUGCGAAACUCGAAUGAACGAACGGAGAGAUUCAUCGUCAUUCCCCGGCGCACGCGCGUUCAGCUCGAUGCCCGCCGGCCUCGCGGCCGGCGGGCACGUGCCGCGCGCGUAGCGCUCCGGGGACGGCGUGCACUUCUCUCUUAGUAAUACAUCGCGACCCGUUCGGUGUCGGUCUAAGUGCCCUCCGGGAGUCCACUCUUCGCGCUCCGGCGCGUCGUUGUAGACCGAGAGGUGUCUCACCGACCGGCCGCCGGACGGUAUAUCAUACGAAACGCGCACGCGCUUCGCGCGCGUCCGGCCCGACGCAAGGCAACGUCGUAUCUCCCCCCUCCUGCCCGAGUGCGGAAGGGGGUGCGGCGCGCCUGUCGUCGCAGCCGUGCUGUCUCGGACUGUGCGCGGGUCCGUCUGCGA